GAUGAACGCUAGCGGCAGGCUUAAUACAUGCAAGUCGCGGGGCAGCAGGACUGUAGCAAUACAGUUGCUGGCGACCGGCAAACGGGCGCGGAACACGUCCGCAACCUACCCAAAACUGGGGGAUAGCCCGGGGGAACCCGGAUUACUACACCGUAACCUAUUGCGAUGGCAUCAUUUUAAUAGUAUAGCUCCGACGGUUUUGGAUGGGCGUGCGGCUGAUUAGGUAGUUGGUAGAGGUAACGGCUCACCAAUCCUGCGAUCAGUAACUUGUGUGAGAACACGACCAGUCACACGGGCACUGAGACACGGGCCCGACUCCUACGGGAGGCAGCAGUAAGGAAUAUUGGUCAAUGUACGCAAGUCUGAACCAGCCAUGCCGCGUGAAGGAUGAAGGUCCUCUGGAUUGUAAACUUCUUUUAUAGGGGACGAAACCCUCUUUUUCUAAAGAGACUGACGGUACCCUAGGAAUAAGCACCGGCUAACUCCGUGCCAGCCGCCGCCGUAAUAC
rnacentral:rRNA from 1 species